rnacentral:miRNA from 1 species
GCUGACACAUCCUGGCCAAUCUCCAGCAGACCCUCCCUCCCAGACCCUCCUACUUCCUGGACAGCAUCCAUGUUGAAGGCAGCUUCAACAUGGAUGCUGUCCAGGAAGUAGGAGGGUCUGGGAGGGAGGGUCUGGUGGAGAUUGGCCGGGAUGUGUCAG